rnacentral:rRNA from 1 species
AACAAACGCUGGCGGCGUGCCUAAUACAUGCAAGUCGAACGGGGAAAGCUUUCGGGUGAGUACUAGUGGCGCACGGGUGAGUAACGCGUGGAUAAUCUGCCUUAGAGUGGGGGAUAACUAGUCGAAAGAUUAGCUAAUACCGCAUAAGACCACAAGAACUGCGGUUCAAGGGGUCAAAGGUUUUUCGCUCUAAGAUGAGUCCGCGUAAGAUUAGCUAGUUGGUAGGGUAACGGCCUACCAAGGCGACGAUCUUUAACUGGUCUGAGAGGAUGAACAGUCACACUGGAACUGAGACACGGUCCAGACUCCUACGGGAGGCAGCAGUAGGGAAUAUUGCACAAUGGAGGAAACUCUGAUGCAGCGACGCCGCGUGAGUGAUGAAGGCCUUCGGGUCGUAAAGCUCUGUCGCAGGGGAAUAACACAAUGAAGGUACCCUGUAAGAAAGGAUCGGCUAACUGCGUGCCAGCAGCCGCCGUAACAC